GAUGAACGCUAGCGACAGGCUUAACACAUGCAAGUCGAGGGGCAGCAACACUUUCGGGUGGUUGGCGACCGGCGCACGGGUGAGUAACACGUAUGCAACCUACCUACUACUAGAGGAUAGCCCGUUGAAAGACGGAUUAAUACUUUAUGACACAGGGGUGCCGCAUGGCAAUAUUGGUUAAAGAUUUCAUGGUAGUAGAUGGUCAUGCGCAGGAUUAGCUAGUUGGUUGAGGUAACGGCUCACCAAGGCAACGAUCCUUAGGGGUUCUGAGAGGAAGGUCCCCCACACUGGUACUGAGACACGGACCAGACUACUACGGGAGGCAGCAGUGAGGAAUAUUGGUCAAUGGACGAGAGUCUGAACCAGCCAAGUCGCGUGAAGGAAGACGGUAUUAUGUAUUGUAAACUUCUUUUAUAGGGGAAUAAAAUGCGGCACGUGUGCUGUUUUGUAUGUACCCUAUGAAUAAGCAUCGGCUAACUCCGUGCCAGCAGCCGCCGUAA
rnacentral:rRNA from 1 species